UACAGGGGGUGCAAACGUUGCUCUGAAUUAUUGGGCGUAAAGCGCGCGUAGGCGGCUACUUAAGUCGGAUGUGAAAGCCCUUGGCUCAACUGAGGAAGUGCACCCGAAACUGAGUGGCUAGAGUACGAAAGAGGGUCGCGGAAUUCCCGGUGUAGAGGUGAAAUUCGUAGAUAUCGGGAGGAACACCGGUGGCGAAGGCGGCGACCUGGGUCGAUACUGACGCUGAUGCGCGAAAGCGUGGGGAGCAAACAGG
rnacentral:rRNA from 1 species